AGGUGUUUCGUGCUUAGUGGAGAUGAAGCUUAAUUAUUAUUGAGUGAGUGCUCAUAGAAGGUGAAAAGCCUGUAUGGUUUUGCUUGUCUGUUGAACUGAAACACUGAAGAGUCUAGUUGUUUGGGAGUACAACUUAAAGCUGGUGGUAAAUUUCAUCAAAGGCUAAAUAUAUGAGGGGGCUAAUAGCGAACAAGUACCAUGAGGGAAAGUUGAAAAGAACUCUGACGAGAGAGUUCAAUAGUACGUGAAACCAUAUUGAGUAAAACAGAUAACUGUGCUGUUACGCGGUGCGCCUAUCAACAGUUUGUUAGGUGAUGUGAUGCUUCGCGUGUAGGUUGUCUAUUCAGCUGAUUGCUCGAGGUCAACAUUACUAGAAAAUUGUGCAUUAGUGCGCACUCGGACAUUGAGAAACUAUGCUGCUGCAGCAUCGGUGUUCAGCAGUCCGUACAUAGUGCGAGGUUGUGCGCUGGGUGCAGCUGGAUGGUGUAGUUUAGCUGUGUCAGAGCUGUCGGCUGCGUUUAUCAUAGGUUCCUGCUGUAUCUGCGAAUUGGUUUAUUCCUUUUUGCAGCGAGUCUGGUAUUAUCAGUAAGCGGCCUGCCAUCGAUGUUUAGCAUUAGUUAUUUGACCCGUCUUGAAACACGGACCAAGGAGUUCAAAUGGCACGCGAGUCAUAGGGGUUUCACCCGAAGGCGAAGUGAAAUGCAAACGUAUUGUUAUUUGUGGUUGUUCCAUGAUUAAGCGAUAAGCUACUGAUGCUUUCUGGCAUUAGUAGACUAAAAGCGUGAUAUUUGAGACCCGAA
rnacentral:rRNA from 1 species